ensembl:misc_RNA Gm26456 predicted gene, 26456
GGCUAGUUCAAAGGUAGUAAGCUAUUGCAAGUGAUUGUUCACAUUCAGUUACAGAUUGAAGUUCUAUUCUAUACUUCCCCCCUUCUCACUAAUGCACUUGACUAGAGAUAG